UUCAUAACCCUUUGUUGUCCGACUCUGUUGCCUCCGGGGCGACCCUGCCUUCGGGCGGGGGCUCCGGGUGGACACUUCAAACUCUUGCGUAACUUUGCAGUCUGAGUAAAUUUAAUUAAUAAAUUAAAACUUUUAACAACGGAUCUCUUGGUUCUGGCAUCGAUGAAGAACGCAGCGAAAUGCGAUAAGUAAUGUGAAUUGCAGAAUUCAGUGAAUCAUCGAAUCUUUGAACGCACAUUGCGCCCCCUGGUAUUCCGGGGGGCAUGCCUGUUCGAGCGUCAUUUCACCACUCAAGCCUCGCUUGGUAUUGGGCAACGCGGUCCGCCGCGUGCCUCAAAUCGACCGGCUGGGUCUUCUGUCCCCUAAGCGUUGUGGAAACUAUUCGCUAAAGGGUGCUCGGGAGGCUACGCCGUAAAACAAACCCAUUUCUAAGGUUGACCUCGGAUCAGGUAGGGAUACCCGCUGAACUUAAGCAUAUCAA
rnacentral:rRNA from 1 species